GCGGGGCAGCGGGGGAGUCGCCGCGGGACUUGAGGGGGCCGGGCGGGGACCCCCCGCUUCGACCUGAAAUAAUUAUGCCGAGAAAGCGAGGCCACCUUCCUUUCCAGGAUCUUCUCGUCCAUGCAAUUGCAGUAGGAUCAACUCCUAUUCUGGUUUGGUUUCCCCAUCCUGGGUCUGUACAAGAGGCAGAGAGGGCUGAGGAUGGGCCCCCCCAGCUCUGAAGCCCGUGAUGCCACGUGUGCAGACAAGCAGCUUAGUGCAUAUGUGAGAUGAAGACGGAAGAAUCCAGAAUUCCUGGUGCUCAGGCAUUGAUCCUCCCAUUCCUGUUAUUUCAUUGAAGGGAAUUUUUGUUAUGUGGUUUUCAAGCAUCUACCUGCCUUGCCCUCAGCCAGUGCUUACACUCACCUGAGCAGCUGCUUUUCCUUAGAUGCUCAGAAAAUUAUCACUGUUGCUCCAGUUCUCUGACCCUUUAUCUCUAUAACUAGAGCAGCCAGAGGCAAUGAGAAUUGUGUAACCAUCUCCCCACUUCCCAAGUGCUUGGGACAGGUCUGGUAACUUUGAUAGUAUGUCUCAUGGGACACACAGAAUAAAUCUCUAUUAGAUUAGGGCACUUAUAAAUAAACUGGCUGCUUGCUACAGAAAAAAAUGAAAAGGUCUUUAUUUUAGUUACUGGAUGAGAGAAGCAAGGAACACAAAUAUUUUGGCUAAUAUUAAACUAUUGGUAAAUUAUGAAAAAUCAGUAUUUUAAAAGUUAUCUCAAGCCAUGUAAUGAAAAUUAAACUACUGCCAGAUUGAAAGCCAACAAUUUAAAACCAGCAUGUCAUCUAUAAUCCAAUGGUGUACAGAAUUACCCUGCACAGAUGGGGCUCAAAGACUAGUCGUAUGGCCAGGUGAUAAAGAACUCAAAGUAAUGUUUUUUAUAGCAGAACAGCAUCUGUGAUAACCCACAGCCAUCCUCAGACACUGUGGAACUUGGCGGCAGAUUCACCGCUGAGAUAUAAAACACAUGACGAGCACGUAGUGACAUCAAAAGGAGUGCAGUGUAAUGGUGUUCAGAUGUCUCCCCUCAAGCCCACACAAAAGCUGCUCUGAGGGCUGCUGGAGCUCAGAACUCUCAAUGAUUCCCUUUUGAUAAGCCUGUUGUUAUCAAAUCCAAGGAGUCUUAUGAGCAGCACCUCCUGACUGUUCCUUUGCUAACUGAAGAGCAUGAAGGCUUCUUCUGUUGCCUGAAAGACGUGUGAAGGUUCAGGUUUUUGACCUCAAAUCCUGUUUUUACUUCAGAAGUCGAUUGCACAAGCGGACAGUGAAUGAGUGUCUCCGUUUCCCUUGCGGUCAGAGAAGAUCCUAUUCAUACUGAGUUUACAAGCAAACACUUCCUUUGAUGCAUCAUCUUAAGCAGGCAGUCCACCUUAUUACCUGUGGAUUAGCUAACAGAGGCUGAGUGCAGCACUGUGAUGGGUCAAGCCUCUUUUUCAGGUACGACAACAAGGUGUAACCAAGACAGCAAUCUCCCUCACAGCAUUACUCAUUGGAACAUGAGGGCAACAAACCAUAUCAGGAACUGCAGCAAUCCAAGGCUAUACUGGUACAAAUGCCACAGGUAGCAAAUCAAAACUGCUGCCACCAGUUUGUUCUUAAGAAUCUGGGUAUAAUUUACCAUUUAUUAUGUUAUGUGUUAUUGGAAGGCACACUCAGACACCAAUACAAACUAAAUUUGAGGUGCAGCACUUGUGGCUAUGGAAAAUGUACAUAUAUCUUUGCAUCUGAAAACUUGGGAGGCUGGCUAUCACUAGGGAUUGAAUUAGAUCUAAGAGGACAAUCUUAAUGCACCUCUGCCAGAAACUGCAAAGCUUGUUUAACCAAUACAAGUUUCUGUUUCUGACUAUUCUGCUUAGAAAUGGUUCUAGAAAAAAUUUAACCACAAAGUUAAAGAUGAAACAAAAAGGACAUUCCCUCCCCCUCCCUGUUUUGUUUUGUUUUGUUUUGAAUGCUAUUGUUAACAUCCUCCCUUGUGGUAUUUAACUGAAAAACCGUGACCCACCUUAAAAACUAUAGGUUUGAGCCCUGAGGUAUUUUAAAAGGGACCUGAUUUUACACAUAAAAAUUCAAACAAGUACAUACUGCUCAAUCACCCCCCAAUCCUUUUCAGCUAUUUCAGCUGGGCUUCCAUGGUAGAAGCACCCACGCUCACUGCAGAGUUGGGAAAGGAUGGACCUCGGGGGUUAGACCACAUAAUGAAAAUUAGCCAGCCAAUUCCAUGAAGUGUUUUGAACACAAAAGCCCAGUGCAAGUAAUAAUUGUUCAGUUCUCUUUUUCAGCUAUGAAAUCAGCUUGCAGAUUAAUAUUCUUCAAUUACAAAAUAACA